rnacentral:rRNA from 1 species
AGAGUUUGAUCAUGGCUCAGAUUGAACGCUGGCGGCAGCCCUUAUACAUGCAAGUCGAACGAGAAAGUUCCUUCGGGAGCGAGUAAAGUGGCGGACGGGUGAGUAACGCGUAGGAAUCUACCUUUCAGUGGGGGAUAGCUCGGGGAAACUCGAAUUAAUACCGCAUACACCCUUCGGGGGAAAGGGGGCCUCUCCUUGGAAGCUCUCGCUGUUAGAUGAGCCUGCGUGAGAUUAGCUUGUUGGUAAGGUAAUGGCUUACCAAGGCUACGAUCUCUAGCUGGUCUGAGAGGACGAUCAGCCACACUGGGACUGAGACACGGCCCAGACUCCUACGGGAGGCAGCAGUAGGGAAUAUUGGACAAUGGGGGAAACCCUGAUCCAGGCAUGCCGCGUGUGUGAAGAAGGCCUUAGGGUUGUAAAGCACUUUAAGUGAGGAAGAAAAGAUUUAAAUUAAUACUUUAAAUCCCUGACAUUACUCACAGAAUAAGGACCGGCUAACUCCGUGCCAGCAGCCGCGGUAAUACGGAGGGUCCAAGCGUUAAUCGGAAUUACUGGGCGUAAAGCGCGCGUAGAUGGUUUAUUCAGUUGGGUGUGAAAUCCCUGGGCUCAACCUAGGAACUGCAUUCAAAACUUAUAAACUAGAGUACGAAAGAGGAGAGUAGAAUUCAUGGUGUAGCGGUGAAAUGCGUAGAGAUCAUGAGGAAUACCAGUGGCGAAGCGACUCUCUGGUUCGAGACUGACAUUGAGGUGCGAAAGCGUGGGUAGCAAACAGAUUAGAUACCCUGGUAGUCCACGCCGUAAACGAUGAGAACUAGCCGUUGGAUCUUUAGAUUCAGUGGCGCAGCUAACGCAUUAAGUUCUCCGCCUGGGGGAGUACGGCCGC